CUCAGUGGAAUUUCCCUGUUCAAGGGCAUUCUAUUUUUGAAUAACAGAUUCUUGGGAGGGUUGUUGUAAUUAAUAACAGGAGAUGGCAGUUUCCUUCAUGGUCUGUUCCUGGGCUUGUCUGGCUACUCAACCCAGCAUGGCACAACUAUCAGAAUUGUUUCUGUGGGAUUGUCCCAACUUUUGCCUUCUUGUGACAGUUCUGUGAGGAUUUCUCUCCCUCCUUUCCCUGGCUUUUGUCUCCAUAGCUACCUUGGGAGCAAUUUUUGGGGUGGCCAUGUGCCUCAGCGCUGAGAUCCGGGAUGCCCCAGAAGAUCCAUUGAACUACUUCAUUGGGGGCUGUGCAUCAGGUGCUCUCUUGGGAGCCAGAGCUCAGAGCUUUGCCAUCGGCACAUCUGCCUGCUUUGGUCUUGGCACACUGGCAGCUUUUGUCAAAAUAGGCAAGAUGGAAGGGUGGCAGCUUGUCGGCCCUCCCAAGCUCUAAAUCAGUGAACCACCUGCCCCGACGUCUGAUAACGGUGUGUAAGAAAUGCUGCUGUCUGUGUGCUGUCCUAGGGGAGAGGCGGCUGAGACUCCUUGAGGAAGCCAUGCAGGUGGGCAUCUAAGAUGGCUGUGGUGGCCAUCUCACGGACUCUCUCUUACUCUGAGGAUAACUUAACGUGCAAACAAAUAAACGACCAUGUCGUCCUUCUGUAGUGAA